GGUAUGGAGAACUCAUCAAAUCCCAUCGUCAGUCAUAUGCUAGAUUGACUUGACUCGAGUUCAUUUUUGAAUCUCAUAAAAUUUUUUUUUCAGUAUUCACACUUACUCUAGCCAAAGAUUUUUGAAACUCAGUCUUGUGAAUCGCAUAGGACUUCUUCAUUUCUACCAAGAUCGAUAGAUUCUAUCUAAAUGCAUUCUACUCCAAACAGUGAACUUGAACCUAUAAUAGCCAACAUACACAGCAA
rnacentral:lncRNA from 1 species